CAGAACUGCCCAUCCUCCUUCUUUGUCGUAGCUGAGGAGUUUUUUUAUUUCUUGCAUCAGAGGAUCGCAAUCGUCGGCUUUUCCUAAUUGGAUCUUAGAGUAAAGCAUGCUCUCGAUUCUAGUCCAGAAGAACCAAAUCAUUGCAGAAUGCUUAUAUUAUCACAUUCUAUCAAUUCAUUGGAUGAACUACCUGUUGAAAAGGAUUAGUUCCAUACCGUGGCAUCAGCCGCUAAGGUGGCACGUUUCAGAAUGUUUUCAACCAGGCGUAGAAGCGAUCUUGUGUCAACAUCUCGAUCAUCGGGAUCGUGGGUGGCUAGUAUUUGCUUCAUCAUCACAUUGUCGUCAGAAAUGGCGGACAAGAACUUGUUACCCUUGGCCAAUUGAUGUCGAGAGGCGAGCGAGAACUUAUUACCACAGUCCAUUGUUCUACAACACAAAUGUAGGGAAGUCACAGCAGGUUGUGUGGAAUGGGAAUGUAUGCAAGAUGAAUUGACAAAUUUAUAGCCUCAAGAAGGAGUAAAGUUUCUGUUGAAACAACUUCUUUUCUAAACUUUUGGUUAAAUUUCUUCUAUGUCAAGACGCCUUUGUUUGUGGACCCUUUAACUUACAGUUUACAUUUCAUUUUUCUCACAA